GCCUUGGUAGUGUAGCGGAUAUCACGAGGGACUGCGGAUCCCUUUACCCGAGUUCAAAUCUCGGUCAGGGCA
rnacentral:tRNA from 1 species